UUGGGCAUAAAGGGCAUCUAGGCGGCCAGAUAAGUCUGGGGUGAAAACUUGCGGCUCAACCGCAAGCCUGCCCUGGAAACUAUGUGGCUAGAGUACUGGAGAGGUGGACGGAACUGCACGAGUAGAGGUGAAAUUCGUAGAUAUGUGCAGGAAUGCCGAUGAUGAAGAUAGUUCACUGGACGGUAACUGACGCUGAAGUGCGAAAGCUAGGGGAGCAAACAGGAUUAGAUACCCUGGUAGUCCUAGCUGUAAACGAUGCUUACUGGGUGUGGGCAUGAAGAGUGUCCGUGCCGAAGCUAAUGCGAUAAGUAAUCCGCCUGGGGAGUACGGCCGCAAGGCUGAAACUCAAAGGAAUUGACGGGGACCCGCACAAGCGGUGGAGCAUGUGGUUUAAUUCGACGCAACGCGAGGAACCUUACCAGAUCUUGACAUCCUGCGAAGGCCUGCGAGAGCAGGCUGUGCCUCCGGGAACGCAGAGACAGGUGGUGCAUGGCUGUCGUCAGCUCGUGUCGUGAG
rnacentral:rRNA from 1 species